CAAACACCCACUUGUUUUCAAGGGACGUCUGGCAAGCGCAUUGGCCUGGCCUGACAUAAGACUUAGCCCAGGUACUGGAUCACUUCCUGGAAGAUCACUUCACGCAAGAUGGAUCCUCUCGGCUACCUUCUUCUUUGACUGGCAGAAAGAUGCAGGCGACGAGCAGUGUGAAAUCAUGAGUAACCCUGAAUCGGAUGACUCAUACUCGGCUCUGCCGGAGAGCAUGGCUUUUGGCUGUCUAGGAAAGGAUGCUAAUGAAACCAUGCCUGUCUCUCCAGCACACAUCAAUAUCUGUAGCAAGGUAGAUGCUACAGAAGUGGGCACGGGGCUACCAGUGGAAGCAAAGAUGGACGGACGCUACACUGCCUCCUGCCCUCAAGACCUACCUGCAGACGAGAAUUGGGCAAUGGCAGCGAUGCCUAUUGUCUCCCUAACCAAGAAAGCAGCAGCAUGUGUUCUGCUUGAACUAAGCCUGUUCACCAUGUGUCCACACUGCAAAAUGCAUCAAAGAUGUCACCCUUGUGGAAAAUCUCUUCCGUGCCUUCAGCCCUGUCUUAUUCCCUCCUGUGACAUGACAGGUUGAAAUUAACAUUGUAACCUUCCUAGGUAGAUGUCUGUCUCACCCAUCACUGAGGCCGGAAAGGCUAAGCUCAGGGUCACAGGGGGCUGGCACAUUUCCCAGGAAGGGAUGCGGCAGGCUAAUGGAGUACAGGGAGACGGAAGAUGAAUCUUCUGGCUGUGAAGCAGCAGAUGUUUUGUGCCCCUGCCCUUUCCCUGUUUUCAGGCUCCUACUCUGGGUACCACAUUGUCUCAGGAGCCACGUCUGGCGGAUGGUACGAGAAGCUGCCCUUCUGUAUGCACAGCACAUGCAUGGUUUCCAUGGGAACAUCUCAGAAGGAGGAUGCUACGUUUCCAGCUCCUGGUGCCUUUGGCUAAACAAUAGUAUUGGAUGUUGCUGAGAAGUCCAGAACCUUCCUUCUGCCUCUUCUAAUGCUAUCUCUAAGCACCCCCUCA
rnacentral:lncRNA from 1 species